rnacentral:rRNA from 1 species
CCGGUGAAGUGUUCGGAUUGCGGCGACGUGGGCGGUUCGCUGCCCGCGACGUUGUGAGAAGUCCACUGAACCUUAUCAUUUAGAGGAAGGAGAWGUCGUAACAAGGUUUCCGUAGGUGAACCUGCGGAAGGAUCAUUG